rnacentral:rRNA from 1 species
CCUACGGGUGGCAGCAGUGAGGAAUAUUGGUCAAUGGGCGCGAGCCUGAACCAGCCAUGCCGCGUGAAGGAUGACGGCCCUACGGGUUGUAAACUUCUUUUAUAAAGGAAUAAAGUCAGGUACGUGUGCCUUUCUGAAGGUACUUUAUGAAUAAGGAUCGGCUAACUCCGUGCCAGCAGCCGCGGUAAUACGGAGGAUGCGAGCGUUAUCCGGAUUUAUUGGGUUUAAAGGGUUCGUAGAUGGGUUGUUAAGUUAGUUGUGAAAGUUUGAGGCUCAACCGUAAAAUUGCAAUUGAUACUGGCAGUCUUGAGUACAGUUGAGGUAGGCGGAAUUCGUGGUGUAGCGGUGAAAUGCUUAGAGAUCACGAAGAACUCCGAUUGCGAAGGCAGCUUACUGGCCUGCAACUGACGUUGAUGCACGAAAGUGUGGGUAUCGAACAGGAUUAGAUACCCUUGUAGUC